CUCUCUCCACCACUCAUCUAUAUCACACCAUCAGCAUCAUCAUCACAUUAUUCUCUUUCCAAUUCUCACUCCACCUCACCAAACCGUCAUCAUGGACACAAAGAUUGGAUUCGUGGACUCACACAAACUCAGCUCCCAAGCAACGACAUCAUCUCCUGCGCCAACAACAACUCUACUACCGUCUCAGCCACCACUGUCGCCUCAUCGAAAGCCAUACUCGGCCGCCAGCUAGGGUGGCAAGAGUACCCAAAUCUACGGGUACACGACCCAUCCCGUCCCUACCUGGUCGGGACGGGUUUAAACCCGACCCGAGACGGGGCGGGGUCGGGGUCUCUCGGGGCGGGUUUUGAACGGGGCGAGGUCGGGGUCAGGGUAAACCCGCCCCUACCCGUCCCAGAGUACAAAAUAUAUAUAUGUUUUUAAAGAUUAGGACUUUUAAGUGUCUUCACCAACCAUCAGACCCCAAUUCCUAAGUCAUAUUCUUCCUCAUAGAACCAAAGCUCUUUACUGCUCAGCUCAGCCUCUCAUCCCCUCCCCACCGUUGCGCCGUCGCUACAGUUUCUUGCCGUCACCACAGCUCCUUGCCAUCGUCGCAACUCCUUAGCGUCACUGCUCACCUCCCGUCUAUCAUUGCUGCUCAGUCGCGCAACUCCUCGCCAUCGUUGCUCAGCUCGCACAGCUCCAUUCAUUGUUUGGUCGCCAUCGCUGUGAGCUUGACCAUCACUGUUUCUUGUGAGCCUGUCAUCAGAGUCCUUUUUCUAUGUCUCUAACUGCCGAUAAGUCUCUGAACCCCUCUGUCUUUGCAAAUUUGUCAUCCCACAAGCAUGCUUUACCAUCUCUGCGAAAAAUGCAGGAAGCUUACUUUGGAAUACUAUAAAAGAAACUGAACUAAAAAUUUUGACAAAUAAUGAACAACCACCUAUAACAAGAAAAAAUAUGAUCUAUCAAUUAUUAUUCGAAUAAUAUGCUUACAUAUUUAUCAUGUGAACACAAUUGAAUUAAGUGUAUAUAUGGUAUUUCAUAAUUUUGCUGUGAAACUAGUCUUAUGGUGAAGAUGAUAUUUAAUUAAUUAUUCUUGUGUUCAUACCAAUAUCAAUUUAAUUUGGCUACCAUUAAGAGUGCUUCUGUUGAAUUCCUCAUGUCUAUUGCACCUUCUAUGUUGAUACACAUUGUUAAUUGCUUUCGUAGGAUACACAAUAUUGAUUAAUUUAAGGAUAUGUGAUUGGUUGAAUUAUUAUUCUUUGCAUAAUCUGAUUUGUUGAUUUGAUGUGCCAAGUGCAAACUAUAGGGAUGAGCUCUACAAGGAGUUUCUUAAAGCCUUACGAGGUGGGUUAGUAUUAGUUGAGAAAGAUUUUAAAGCCAUUAAAGAAGCAUUAGAGGAAGCAUUUGCCAAAGCUGACACCAAGUUGUUGAAAUGGUAAAGCAAUAAACUAGUCUACAAAGCUUGAAAUGAAUAAAGAGGAGGACGAAUCAGGCGCAACAGCAACUGCAAUCUUCAUAGGGGAUGAUACACUGCUCGUUUUGCACAUUGGUGACUCAUCUAUGGUUUGAAUCUUGUCCUUCAAACCUUUAAUGAUGAUAAAGAUGUGAAAAGUAAUCAAGAAUAAGUAUUGAAGAAUCUUAUAUUUAAUGAUGCAAUUUUUUAUUUAUGGC